rnacentral:SRP_RNA from 1 species
GCUGGGCGUGGUGGCUCAUGCCUGUAAUCCCAGCUACUCAGGAGGCUGAGACAGGAGAAUCGCUUGAGCCCGGGAGGCUGAGGUUGCAGUGAGCCGAGAUCGCACCAUUGCACUCCAGCCUGGGCAACAAGAGCCAGACUCUGUCUCAA